AACUUCAGCAAAAGCCAAAGCAGCCAACAAAGCCACAGCCCUAUCGGCUGUACUGGGCUCUGCCUUUUGGGCAGCUCGCCGGCCACUCCCCAAAAGCAGAGCAUUCCAUCCUUUCUCUUUUUAAACCCACGUCAUCAUCUGAUCAUAAUGGAAAUCAAUCUCCUCAAACCACCAUGCAAAGGCGUAUCCAUGGCAACCUCAAAAGGAAGGACACAGAGAUGAUGCUUCAGUGGCUGCAGCAGGAAAAGCUCUUCGCCUCUCGGUACCUUAAGUAUACCUGAGUAGCCAGUGGUCAACAUGGGUUUGCUGCUCUCCUCACUGCAAUAAAUGACGGAAACCUGUAGCUCAGUAUGGAUUCAGGGGCGCCUCAGACGCUCGCAGGAACGGAGGGGAGACCCUUGCAGUUCUGGAGGAACUCUAAGGCGCAGUCACUCUGAUCCCAGGAGAACAAUGCUAGGCUGAAGAGCUGAGCCCUGACUGAAAACUGCGCACCGACCGCAGCCGGGAUUACAUCAAUCAGGCACAAAGCUGGACACCUGGGACAGGAUAAGCGCACGCGCACUGUGCCUGGGAAGCCGAUUAGGACCAUAAGAAAUCGGCGUGUCGUGGCGAGCGCCCUCUUUCGGCGGAGGGGAGAAAGCGCAGAAGGGCUGGAGGACUUAUUUGCAAGUGUUAAACUGCUAAUUAAAACAAUAGCGAUAAACCAUAUCUCCUCCAUUAGCCUGGGGGAGAAAAUUAAAUGUUGCUGCUACUCAGUGUUACCUGUCAUAUGGGGAUACAGGCAUUCUCAUGCGCUUAUGAUGGGAAUGUAAAAUACAAAUUUACAUAAUGGCAUUUUAAAAUUUUAGACAUAGGUUCAAAUUCUUUUUUUUCUGUUUUUAAGACAAGGUCUCGCUCUGUUGUCUAGACUGGAGUGCGGUAGCACGCACAAUCAUGGCUCAUUGCGGCCUUGACUUCUCAGGCUCAGGCCAUCCUCCCACCUCUCAGCCUCCGUAGUAGCUGGGUCUGCAGGCGCGCACCACCAUGCCCUUUUAAUUUUCGUUUUUUGUUUUUUGUUUUUUUGUAAAGACGGGGUUUCACAAUGUUGCCCAGGCUGGUCUCGAACCCCUGGGCUCAAGCGAUCCAAUCGCUUCGGCCUCCCAAAGGGCUGGAAUUACAGACAUGAGCCACCGCACCCGCCUGGGUUCAAAUUCUAACUGCAAUUUACUAGCCGUGUGAAAUCUAGAGUUACUUAUUUACCCUCUCUGUGCCUCUGUUUUCUUAUUUGUUAAAGUGAGAAUGUAAAUGAUGGUACCUAUCUCAUUAUGUUGUUAGAAGGAUUAAGUUAAUCCAUGUAAAGAGCUGGAAAUAUAACUAUUGUAAUGUUAUAUUUAUUUCAGUUAAUCUCAGAUUUAAAACAAACUGAAAAAUUCAUAAAGUUGCUGUAAGGGGCAGUAAGCAGUAGAAGGGAUGCAUUGAGUAUCCCCUUUAUUACUCCCCCCUUUUCCCUAUUUCACCUUCUAAAUAUUUAUAAUUAUUAUUUUGAAUAGAUAAUACGUUUACAUGGCUCAAAAAUCAGAACACUAUUUUAGAAUAUACACAGAGAAACCUCCCUUCAACCCUGGUUCCCAUCGACUCCAUCCCCCUUGCCUGCUACAGAUAAUGCUUAUUAGUGUCUUCUUGUUUAUCUUUUCAGUGUUUUGUGCAAAUAUAAACUCAUAUGAAUAUAUAGUCUUACUCCUCCCAUUUCUUAUGCCAAAUGUAGCAUGCCAGAUACAAUUGGCAUAAGUUCUGUUCACUUAAUCUAUUCUGAAAAUCUUUCUAAAUCAAUAAAUUAGAGAUCUUCCUCAUUUUUCAGCUGCUUAGUACUCUAUUGCAUGGAUACACAUAAUUUAUUAACCAGUUUCUUCUAGUUACAUACUUUAUUUCCAGUCUUUUAGUAUUACAAUCUUGCAAUGAAUCACUUUGAACAUAAUGACAUUCCAAUGUGAGCAGGCAUAUCUCUAGGAUACAUCUUGGUCAAAUAAUAAAUGUAUCUAUAAUUUUAGUAGAAAUGUCUUCCAUCUCCUUCAAUUAAAGAAAAAUAAAAAGUAAAUAUAAAGACUUUAAAAGAUACUGCAUAUACAUAUUUUUAAUUGUCGUAAAGCAUACAUAACAUGAAAUUUACCAUUUUAACCAUGUUUAAGUUCAGUGGCACUCAGAACAUUCACAUUGUUGUGCAAUCAUCACCACUAUCCAUCUCCAGAACUUUUUCACCUUUCUGUACCAAAAACAAACAUGUAAGCAAACAAAACCCUCUGUGAUGAUCUGACAAAAAAACUAAAGUGUAUGAUAGAAUGUGUGUAGGUUAUAUAUAAAUAAAACACAGUUGGCCCUCUGU
rnacentral:lncRNA from 1 species